UACCCAUACCACCUGCAUGGAGCUCCUUCCUGUUAGCUUUCUUACCUGUGUCCUCUAGCACCUCCCUGAGACCCCGAGCACAAUCGGGGUCAAGCUCCACAUUCUGUCUAAGGUUCCAUGACCUGCCCCACCCCUCCUUCUGUGGGGAGAUGUCAACAGUCCAAGGGCCCCACUGUGAUACUCUUACGAAGGGUGGCAGCUGCUCAGAGGAAUAGGCAUCCCACGGACCCUCCUCACCAGCACUCGGCUUCCGGCACUGCGCUAUUCUCUGGAAAGAUAACUACCCAUAGUCCUCUGGUGCGUCCUGAACACUCAGUUGGAGGAAGAUUCUGCCUGAGGAGGCAGUGCGAAGAGCCUGGGGUCUGAUGCCCCAGUGGGCGCGCCACGAAGCUUCACCCCAUCACAAGCUCAGAACAUCUUGAGCAAGUUGCCUCAGUUUCCCAUCUGGAGGGUGGGUCAGCAGCCUGAAGCUUAAGUCGCAAUGACCGUCAGCCAGUGAAGGUUUGCCAGGAGCCUCCUGACUGCUUCCCACACGGGCUUGAAAUGGAUGCUAAGGACGACAGACACCAUGCUCAGCCCCAAAUGGGACAUCUGCAUCACCCAGGAGUCACUGAACAAGAGAAGGAAAAUGGGGCCAAUACUUGCACCCAAGGAGACAGCGCCAGACUUGGAGUAUUUGCAGGCCUGCAGCUCACUGUGUGGCCCAGGCUGGCCUCAGACUCCUGCCUCUGUCUUCCCAGUGCUGAAAUUACAGGCAUAAGUUGACACAUCUGGAAAGGACGAUUUUUUUUAAAGUCCUGCUCUCCUCUGGCUAUUGUCUUGGACUGUGAGGACUGGGCACUGCAGAGGCCUCACAUGGCUCUGGGCUAUUUGAUCGCUGUGUGAAUUACCUCAUGAGACCAUCACAGCAGCCCUGGAUGGGUGCUCCAUCUUUCCUUCAGUAGAAGGAGGCGGCGCCCAGUGGGUAAGUGACAGACCCAAGGUCACUCAGCCAAGUAGUGAAGCAGGAACGGACCUCGGCACCCACGACUCUACUGGGCCCCGCAGCCCUGUGUGCUCCCUCCCGCAGCAGGCCUCAGCUCCCUCCACUGUGGUAACCCAAGUGCUGCCAAACAUGGCUUCCUCUCACCAUCUGGGCUACCGUCUCUCUGUUCUCUGCCCGUUUUACAGAUGAGAGGCCCAAGCGUCGAGGAACUCAGGCCAAUCCCCAGUGUAGAAAGCUGCACAGUCACGUUCAAAUGCCACUCCACCUGACUGGGAACCUGUUUCCUUCCCACCAUACCUGUCAAACAAGUGGACUCACUCGGAGCUCCAGUGCUGAGAGCAGGCCCCUCGGCGGACUCGGUAAAUGCCCCGCUGCUGCUGAGCCGAAGGCUUUCAGGGCCUGCCUGUCACCGUGUUUUACAGCCCUCUUGUUGAAGAGCGGAAUCUGUAUUGAUUUCAGAACAACUCAAGCUGUAAAUUACUGGCCGCGAUCGGCUUGGUAACCCUGAGAUGAGAAUCUAUUGACUGGACCGGGGGCUUAAAUCUAAUUAUCGUCCCAGGAAAACCAUUGGCAGAGCUGCUCAAUGCCUGUGCGGAAGAGAACAGUUAAACAGCCCAGGGCUACGUGGGGGGUGGGGGUGGGGCAGAGAUCUAGAACGAUCCGGGGUCUCUGCGGAGCCUAAGAAACUGCCUUGGCCACCAAUCGAUUGACCUUGAGUCACUUCUGUAAUUACCAACGGCGAUGUUACUACGAUAGCGUGGUGCCCCAUGGCUCUGGGGCCUGGGCACCUCAUGCAGCCUGUUGUUCAGCUUCCUCAAACCAGUUUCUUCAUCUCUACAUAGAGGGAGCCUUGGUGCAUUUCUACCUGUACCUCAGGAAGGAGAGAAAACCGCCAGCCAUGGGAGCGGCUUCGCCCAAGGGCACACAGCUACCUCGGAAUGCAGACCUUAAACCGGUCCCUCACUGCUGGGUGGCUCAAUGGUUAGGGGUGCCUGCCUGCGUGCGGUUACCGGCACCCUGUGCGGUGGCUCACAGUCACCUGGACGUGAGGCGGCGUGCUGGCCUUGACAAGAACGUCAUCCAUGGGCUUCUAUAUCUGAACGCUGGGUAGCUCAGACUGGAGCUGUUUGAAAGGGUUAGAAGGGUUCGGGGGUGUUGCUGGUUGGAGGGAGUCUGUCACUGGGGUUAGGCUUUGAGGUUUUGAAGGGUGAAUGCCAAUCACAGGGUGUCUCUCUCUGACUACAGGUCAGGACGUAGCUCCCAGCCACUGCUCCGUUGCACCAUGGGCCCUGACAUGAUAGUAGCAGACUAAGCGUCCGAAACUGUAACACACACAUGUACACA
rnacentral:sRNA from 1 species